rnacentral:sRNA from 1 species
AUGCGAUGAGUCGAUGGGUGGCCCUAGGCCACCAUUGCGCUAGGGAGGUCAUUAACGCAGGAGCGGACCUUGACCAGUUGUGUGAACCGACUGGUCACACUAGCAAUAGUGCCCUGACCCCUGUCUUUGGAUAGGGGUCUUUU